ensembl:lncRNA
GGGGUGUGAUGGUUUAAGAAGGUAUCAUAGAACUGCUUAGGUGGGAAGGGGCCUUAAAGAUCAUCCUGCUUCAACUUCCCUGCUAUGGGUUGGGUGUUCCCCACCAGCUCAGGCUGCCCAGGGCCCCCUUCAGCCAGGCCUUGGGUACCUCAGAUGACAGCUGAUGAAGAAAGUGAGUUACAGGAGCUGCAGCAUUGUGGUUGUGGUCACAGAGCAUUGAGGUGCUAAAGGUGCUGCAGCCCAACGAAACUUUCUAGGCACGUGGCAUCCAUCCUCCCUGCUGUGCUGGCCCUCAGCUCAGAGGCAGUUUACUGUGCAGCUCUGGACACUGCAGGUGAUGUGCGUAUGGGAAAUCUCAUGACGUGAAACACUCCAUGCUGGAAAAUGUUAUGUUGGAGAACACUUAGUUUGUCUGAGUGGAUUCCUGAGUGAAUUUCAGUUAAUGUUGCCCUGCAGAACAUCGCUGGAUGUGUGUAGGGGCACGUAGGGGAGGUGACUAUUGCUGAGCCAACCAGUUGCUUCUUCCAGGGCCCUCUGCUUCUUCUCAUCGUAAAAAUCAGGGAAGAUACCAAAGACUGCAUUCAUAUUACUUUAUGAAAGAAGCUAAUCAUGGUGCAAACUCACAGCUGUUAAAAAGCCCAGAAAUUCUUAGCCGUGACCCAAGUUCCACAGAGGGGUAACUUCACUGUGAAUUAGGACAGACAUUGCAAAUGAAGUUUCUUUCUCUGCACGUAAGAUGGAUUCUAUAUGAUUAUAUCAAAUGUGCCUUGGAAGCUCCCUGCCAUUUGGUGAUGUGCUGUGUAUAUGCCUGCAGCCUCAUUAAAGAAGAGCUUUGGGCAGUCUGCCCUCCUCCCUGCUUGCUGAUGUCGGCAUUAUGUUAUUGGGAAUGUUGACAUGCCAAAAAUGUUGGUGCAGAAAUGAUGUUGGACCACUGCUGACUUUUGCACAAAAAUAUCAGUGAUACCUCCCCUCUAUGGAUGGUGGAUUUCCCCCCAGAAGAGACCCAAAAAUGGGUCAGGUCCGUGGGCUUGGUCAGGGGCAGUGGGACAAGAAGGUCAUAGUAGUCUUUGGAACAAGACUGGUUUGGAAGAAGAAAAACUGAGUUGGCACUGUGUGCAUGUAGGGAGGACGCUGAGCAUGAUUCCUCCCCAGUCUCCAUCCUGUGACCCUCUGUAAUGACUUGAUGCCUCUGAUUGCCCAUCACAGCCAGUCUGGUUUCCCUUCAUGUCUCCUGCUCUUCCAUCCGGAGCGAGUACUCUUGGCUCUCUUCCACACUCUGUAAUUGCCAUCUUGGCAAGAGGAUUUGUGUGCUUGGGUUGUUCUGAAGCUGUCUGUAUGUUGGUAAAUCAGCUCACUAAGCAUAACAGAAAAUCAUUAAAUUCACAGUGCAGUU